rnacentral:rRNA from 1 species
ACACUGAGAAAGCUUGCUUUCUUGCUGACGACCGGCGGACGGGUGAGUAAUGUAUGGGGAUCUGCCCGAUAAAGGGGGAUAACUACUGCAAACGGUGGCUAAUACCGCAUAAUGUCUACGGACCAAAGCAGGGGCUCUUCGGACCUUGCACUAUCGGAUGAACCCAUAUGGGAUUAGCUAGUAGGUGGGGUAAAGGCUCACCUAGGCGACGAUCUCCAUCUGUUCUGAGAGGAUGAUCAGCCACACUGGUACUGAGCCACGACCAACACUUCUACGGGAGGCAGCAGUGGGGAAUAUUGCACAAUGGGCGCAAGCCUGAUGCAGCCAUGCCGCGUGUAUGAAGAAGGCCUUAGGGUUGUAAAGUACUUUCAGCGGGGAGGAAGGUGAUAAGGUUAAUACCCUUAUCAAUUGACGUUACCCGCAGAAGAAGCACCGGCUAACUCCGUGCCAGCAGCCGCGGUAAUACGGAGGGUGCAAGCGUUAAUCGGAAUUACUGGGCGUAAAGCGCACGCAGGCGGUCAAUUAAGUCAGAUGUGAAAGCCCCGAGCUUAACUUGGGAAUUGCAUCUGAAACUGGUUGGCUAGAGUCUUGUACAGGGGGGUAGAAUUCCAUGUGUACCGGUGAAAUGCGUAUAGAUGUGGAGGAAUACCGGUGGCGAAGGCGGCCCCCUGGACAAAGACUGACGCUCAGGUGCGAAAGCGUGGGGAGCAAACAGGAUUAGAUACCCUGCUAGUCCACGCUGUACACGAUGUCGAUUUAUAGGUUGUGGUCUUGAACCGUGGCUUCUGGAGCUAACGCGUUAAUCGACCGCCUGGGGAGUACGGCCGCAAGGUUAACACUCAAAUGACUUGACGGGGGGCCCGCACAGCGGUGGAGCAUGUGGUGUAAGUCGAUGCAAC